rnacentral:lncRNA from 1 species
GCCACCUUAAAUUGAUCUUCUGGCAAGCCUGGCUCUUCUUUAGUUAUCACCUUUUAUGGUUAUUUACAGAUGAUAUUUUUUAUGUGAAGACCAAUGUAAACUACCCAAAUGAAACCUGCUACAGCAUAACAACACUAGGUUUUUGAAUUGGCUUUAUGGAUCAACAUAUGAUCCAUCAAAACAACCUGUGUUGCAUGACAGGAAAUUAAUCUUAUGUGCCAAAUUCCUAGCCAGUGCAACUUCAUGCAAGAGAGGAACAUGUCACAAACAACUACCUUAUUUCACAGUUUGAGCUCAGGUAACUUAGAAGUCUAAAUGAGCGAGGAA